rnacentral:rRNA from 1 species
UAAGCGGAGGAAAAGAAACUAACAAGGAUUCCCCUAGUAACGGCGAGUGAAGCGGGAGUAGCUCAAAUUGAAAAUCGGUGUUGCCGUGCUUCGGUGGCCGAGUUGUAGAGUAGAGUGUCGUGACCCGUGACGAGGGCCCGGGAUAACUUUUGUUGGAAGACAAGGUCAUAGAGGGUAAUAACCCCGUAUGUGCUUGCCUGGGCUGGUGUGCUUGUCCGAUGGGUGCGGCGUCGAAGAGUCGGGUUGCUUGGGAAUGCAGCUCAAAGUGGGUGGUAAAUUCCAUCUAAAGCUAAAUAUGGGCAAUAGACCGAUAGCGAAAAAGUACCGUGAGGGAAAGAUGAAAAGAACUUUGAAAAGAGAGUGAAAAGUGCUUGAAAUUGCUAAAAGGGAACCCGUUAGCUCCAGUGC